AUUGAACGCUGGCGGCAUGCCUAACACAUGCAAGUCGAACGAGUGGCGGACGGGUGAGUAAUGUCUGGGAAACUGCCUGGUGGAGGGGGAUAACUACUGGAAACGGUAGCUAAUACCGCAUACCAUCGGAUGUGCCCAGAUGGGAUUAGCUAGUGGGUGGGGUAAAGGCUCACCAAGGCCACGAUCCCUAGCUGGUCUGAGAGGAUGACCAGCCACACUGGGACUGAGACACGGUCCAGACUCCUACGUGAGGCAGCAGUGGGGAAUAUUGGACAAUGGGCGAAAGCCUGAUGCAGCCAUGCCGCGUGUAUGAAGAAGGCCUUCGGGUUGUAAAGUACUUUCAGCGGGGAGGCGUUACCUGCAGAAGAAGCACCGGCUAACUACGUGCCAGCAGCCGCGGUAAUAC
rnacentral:rRNA from 1 species